AUUGAACGCUGGCGGCAUGCUUUACACAUGCCAGUCGAACGGCAGCGCGGGCUUCGGCCUGGCGGCGAGUGGCGCACGGGUGAGUAAUACAUCGGAACGUGCCCAGUAGUGGGGGAUAGCUCGGCGAAAGCCGGAUUAAUACCGCAUACGACCUGAGGGUGAAAGCGGGGGAUCUUCGGACCUCGCGCUAUUGGAGCGGCCGAUGGCAGAUUAGCUAGUUGGUGGGGUAAAGGCCUACCAAGGCGACGAUCUGUAGCUGGUCUGAGAGGACGACCAGCCACACUGGGACUGAGACACGGCCCAGACUCCUACGGGAGGCAGCAGUGGGGAAUUUUGGACAAUGGGCGAAAGCCUGAUCCAGCAAUGCCGCGUGUGUGAUGAAGGCCUUCGGGUUGUAAAGCACUUUUGGCGGGAACGAAAAGGACUGUGCCAAUACCACGGUUCGAUGACGGUACCCGCAGAAUAAGCACCGGCUAACUACGUG
rnacentral:rRNA from 1 species